AAUGGCAGCUAGCUGUCUGCCAGUCUCAUAUAGUCGCCCACUAAAGCUAAGCAGGGUUGCGCCCAGCCAGUACCUGGAAGGGAGACCAGAAGGGAAAGCUAGGUUGCUGCCGGAA
rnacentral:rRNA from 1 species